UACUCGGAUAACUGUGGCAAUUCUAGAGCUAAUACGUGCAAGAAGGCUCGGACCUUUCGGGAAGAGCGCAUUUAUUAGACCAAAACCAAUCGGGCUUCGGCCUGAGCUUUGGUGACUCUGAAUAACUAAGUUGAUCGCACGGUCUUAGUACCGGCGACGCAUCUUUCAAGUGUCUGCCUUAUCAACUUUCGAUGGUAGUUUAUGUGCCUACCAUGGUUGUAACGGGUAACGGAGAAUAAGGGUUCGACUCCGGAGAGGGAGCCUGAGAAACGGCUACCACAUCCAAGGAAGGCAGCAGGCGCGCAAAUUACCCACUCUCAGCACGAGGAGGUAGUGACGAAAAAUAACGAGGGAGUGUGUUAGAGGGCCGCUAUCGGAAUGGGUA
rnacentral:rRNA from 1 species